UACGUAGGGGGCAAGCGUUGUCCGGAUUUAUUGGGCGUAAAGAGCGUGUAGGCGGCUAGGUAGGUCCGUUGUGAAAACUCGAGGCUCAACCUCGAGACGUCGAUGGAAACCAUCCAGCUAGAGUCCGGAAGAGGAGAGUGGAAUUCCUGGUGUAGCGGUGAAAUGCGCAGAUAUCAGGAAGAACACCCGUGGCGAAGGCGGCUCUCUGGUACGUGACUGACGCUGAGACGCGAAAGCGUGGGGAGCGAACAGG
rnacentral:rRNA from 1 species